rnacentral:lncRNA from 10 species
UUUUCGUUUUUUUUUUUGAGACAGAGUCUUGCCCUGUCGCCCAGGCUGGAGUGCAGUGGCGUUUUCUCGGCUCACUGCAAGCUCCACCUCCUGGAUUCAAGCGAUUCUCCUGCCUCAGCCUCUCAAGUAGCUGGGAUUAUAGACGUGUACCACCACACCCGGCUAAUUUUUGUAUUUUUAGUAGAGAUGGGGUUUCACCAUGUUGGCCUUUUGUAUUUUUAGUAGUGACAGGAUUUUAUCAUGUUGGCCAGGCUGGUCUCAAACUCCUUGACCUCAGGCGAUCCACCCGCCUCGGCCUCCCAAAGUGGUGGGAUUACAGGUAUGAGCUACCGUGCCCAGCCCCUGUAGUUAGGUUUUAUCUCUAAUCUAUAUAACUCCCUGAAGCCAGAACUAUGAUUUAUCUGUACGUUCUGAGACCCUAGCCUAGUGCUGACACAUAUUUGAUGCUCACUAAUAAUUUCUAGGUGAAUGAAUUUUAUUAAUUUCCUAGAUAAUUACAGCUACCAUAGCCUAAUUAUAUCUGAAUAGUCCUUUGGCCUCAUUUUUUUGUGAUAGUUAUAUACAUUUGUAUUUCUAUAAUUCUACAUGCUUCCAUUAUUGCUUUCCAAAAUUCACAUUUUUGUGAAGAAGAAGAGAGUAAGCAAAAGACAUUCCUUCCUCCCAGACAUUAAUUACUGCAAGAUGCCUGUGUAAUUAGUGAAACAGGCAUCUCCUACAUGUGUUAAUUUAGAUUCCACCAAAAAGUGCUUGAUUAACAAAAAAAUUUAAAAAUUUUCAAUUGAAUUACUUUAAAACAAGGAAUAAUUUCCAAUUUAGUUAUCCAGACAAGUUGUAUGGAUCCAGACAGAUUAUUUUUAAAUAAGGUGUUAUGGGCCAGGCAUGGUGGCUCACACCUAUAAUCCCAGCACUUCGGGAGACCAAGGUGGGUGGAUCACCUGAGGUCAGGAGUUUGAGGCCAGCCCGGCCAACACGGAGAAACCCUGUCUCUACUAAAAUUACAAAAAAUUAGCUGGGCGUGGUGAUGCGUGCCUGUAAUCCCAGCUACUUGGGAGGCUGAGUCAGGAGAGUCGCUUGAACCCAGGAGGCAGAGGUUGCAGUGAGCUGAGAUUGCACCAUUGCACUCCAGCCUGGGCAACAAGAGCAAAACUCUGUCUCAAAAUAAACAAAUAAAUAAAAAAUAAAGUGUUAUUAUCAUGUCUAAAGUAUCUAUUUGUCUUUUUCACAUAUGAUGCUACAUGGAAUAAAUUAGAGAAGCUUUACUCAAGCCCCAAAGUAGUCACUACCAUGAAUGAUAAGUAAUAUAAGGAAGAAAAUGUAAGACAAGUUUCUUCACUGUGUAUGUGGUUUCAUUCUGUUCGUGGAUUGGAUGAUUCCUCUUUCAUUAACUUUUCCAUUUUCUUUGCCUUUCUUGCAGAUAAGUGCCCUCUGUGUACCAAAAAGGAAUGUA